UUCCGAGGUUAAUGCACAACGCGGAAGUAAUUGAAGAUCGUUAGCAAUCCUGAUCGGUUUCUGGCUCAUUCGAGAAAAUGGUCGUAAAUCAACAAGCUCCUAGUCCUGCGCAAUAAGAUAUGCUUAAUGAGUUAAUAAAGGAAUCGAAGGAAUUUAUCGCCGCGUAUGACACCAUUGUGUUGCAUAAAGAGCUGUACCGAAAUGUUUUAAUAUUCUCAUUGAGCUGUUUGCGGGAAAAACUCGUGGAACUAAUUCAAAAAUUUAGCAAGUUACCAAAAGAAGACAACAAAACUCCAGAAAUCGAUUGUUGUGGAGUUUCGUACAACAAAUAUGACUGCUUUAAAGAACACUAUGAACAAGUUCACAAUAGAAAGGCACUUCAAUCAGCUUCGUUGUGCGAGCUGAAAAUGUCGUUGACAAAAAUAUCCUUCUUUGAGCGUAGGAUCCGGGGGUAUCUUAAGGGCGGCGAAAUAUCAAGCUGUGAAAUGAUAAUGAAUUUGAAGAAAAUUCUGAAGAAAAUCGACAUGUCACUAGUGUUUUAACCCUUUCUUUCCUGUUACUACAUAAACGAGUUUAUUAUAAGGCAUUCAAUGAGCAUUGAUUAAAUUAGGCUAAAUUAAACAAGAUAAUAAAAUAUUGUUCUUCAAAAGUUCCACUCUUGCAACAAUUAA